rnacentral:rRNA from 1 species
ACGAACGCUGGCGGCGUGCUUAACACAUGCCAGUCGAACGGAAAGGCCCCUUCGGGGGUACUCGAGUGGCGAACAGGUGAGUAACACGUGAGUAACCUGCCCUUGACUUCGGGAUAACUUCAGGAAACUGGGGCUAAUACCGGAUAGGAAUCCUUGCUGCAUGGUGGGGGUUGGAAAGCUUCGGCGGUUUUGGAUGGACUCGCGGCUUAUCAGCUUGUUGGUGGGGUAGUGGCUUACCAAGGCUUUGACGGGUAGCCGGCCUGAGAGGGCGACCGGCCACAUUGGGACUGAGAUACGGCCCAGACCCCUACGGGAGGCAGCAGUGGGGAAUAUUGCACAAUGGGCGGAAGCCUGAUGCAGCAACGCCGCGUGCGGGAUGACGGCCUUCGGGUUGUAAACCGCUUUCAGCAGGGGCGAAGCUUGUGGUGACGGUACCUGCAGAAGAAGCACCGGCUAACUACGUG